CCUGAGUAGAGUGGCGCACGGGUGAGUAAUGCAUCGGAACGUGUCCUGUAGCGGGGGAUAACCUAGCGAAAGCUAGGCUAAUACCGCAUACGCCCUAAGGGGGAAAGUGGGGGAUCGUAAGACCUCACACUAUAGGAGCGGCCGAUGCCGGAUUAGCUAGUUGGUGGGGUAAAGGCUUACCAAGGCGACGAUCUAUAGCUGUUCUGAGAGGAAGAUCAGCCACACUGGGACUGAGACACGGCCCAGACUCC
rnacentral:rRNA from 1 species